rfam:Chryseolinea serpens strain DSM 24574 genome assembly, contig: Ga0070524_101
UUGGGGGUUUCCGAAAACCCAUUUAACAGAGUAGGAA